rnacentral:lncRNA from 1 species
CCGCCCACAGCUGCGGAACUUAGCUCAUUGAGCUCCAAUAAAGAUAGUUAAAGUCGUAACUCAAGCAAAGGAAGAAAUCAAAAGCUCAAACACCAAAUUAGCUAGAUUCAAAGUCAAUUUGAUUGAAGCUCGAGUAGAUAGCAUCAUGGACACUCAAAAAACUCUCACAAGUGUCAUGUGUCUGACUCAGUAAAGACUUCUUCAGCUUCAAGCGCCAUCAACUUUGAAGAUCUAAAACAAUGUUAUGUUCAGCUCGUCAUUCCUUCUUGUCCGUGUUAUGUUGAACUAAAAUUGAUUGAUUAUGUCGCUUAACAGAAUGAACACUUCAAGGUGCUAAUACCACUGUUCAGGGACUCAAUCUCUUAAUUUCAAGUACUCUAUCAGGUAUCCGCCUUUUGUUUUGUUCUUUUUAAAUCAAUUUCUAUUGUCACAAUUGAAAAAACCUAUUUUGAUGCUUCCUUAUAUGUAAAUGAAGUAUUUAAUUUUUCUCCAUAUUGAUUAUUGUUUUUCCCUGUAUAUGGUACCUCCUGUAAAUUAGAAUAACUUAUAGAAUCUGUACCUGCAAAUAAAAAAAAUUAAUUAGAAAAAAAAAUUCGCCAGGCCAUUUCCUUCUCUCAGAAUAUGAACUAUCUCCACCAUCUCUGAAAAUUAUUUCCUUAGUUCAUUAAUCCUUCUAAUGUCCAAAGAGAUAUUCCAAGGAAUUUGCAAUGAAUGAUCCAUAACCUUUUUGAGAAUGAGAGAAUCAGUUUUCAUUGUAACCGGAAUGAAGGAAUUAACUAUACAAUACUUUAAGCCAUUUCUCAUGACUUUUGCUUCUGCUUGUAAGACAGAUCCCUCCCCAACUAACUUAGAUUCAACAUAUACAAAUUCACCUUCUUUAUUCAUGAUGCAAAAGGUACUGGACAUAGGUUCAGGAUUGCCUUUUUACAGGCACCAUCCGAAUUACAUUUAAAGCUUCCCCUAUCAGGUUUAUUCUAUUUGACUACCUUACUGAUUUGCACAGGAGUAUAUUUCUCAAAAAAUUGAACUAACAUAGGCCAAUUUUUAAAAAUAUUUCUCAAUCAAGGGAAAGUGAAAGUAGAAAAAUUAUGAAUGUUUUUGUUAAGCUCUGUCAUCAUACUCUGUAUAGACAUUUUCCACCAUGAUUAAUUCCAUUCCUUCUUUUCCAUAUAUGCCAUACCACCAUAGCUGGAGUAACUUUAAAAAUAAUCUUAAGUUUUGGAGCACAGUUUGCUAACCACCAUUUAAAAAAUAUACCCUUUAACUGAAUAAAUAGAUCAGUUUUUUCAGUUGCUUAUGUCAGGAUAUUUCAUACCAUUUUUGUGUCUAGACAGUCACAAAAUAGAUGCUGAAAAGUUUCUACCUGUGUAUUAUUACAACAACAACAAAUAGCAUUCUCCACCACCUUCAUCUGGAUUAAUACCUCUCCUAUAGGAAUUCUCUUCUUGCACACCCUCCACAUUAAAGAAACUAUCUUAUAUGAAAGCCCCUUAACCCUAAUAUUUGAAAAAAUAUCAUGUUUUCUUCUUUCUUCCUUAACCAAAUUUCAAGUAGUAGCAACUGUAAAGUCACCAAUACUUGACAGAGUCCACCAUCCCUUAUCCCAGUCUUCUGAAAUAGGAAUUACAUUAAUGUUCAUAACUGGUUAACCUCUUCUAAUCCUUCAUGAUUUCCUUCUGUAAUAGGCAAAACAUAAUGCAAAUCCCCUAGUUGAGUCCAAUUAUCAUGCCAAAUACUAGCACUCCCUCUUCUAUGUUCCCACCAAAUUUCUUGUUCAAGGAAAUUCCUUGCUUCUAUCAUAUAUUUUCAAAUCUGAUACCGAACCCUCCACUCCACUAUUUGAGGCCUUUGCCUUUUGCAGUAUUUAACCCAUAUGAAGUUGGCCCAAAGGAAUUUCUUUGUCCUAAAAUUCCAUCAUAGCUUAGUAAAUAAGGCUUUAGAAAUAUCAAAUAAAGAUCUGAAGCCCAAGCCACCUUCAUUUUUAGGAAAACAAACCUCAAAUCAAGCUACCCAAUGUCUAUUUCUUCCUUCCUCUUUAAAGUCCCACAAAAAUAAAAUCUUGCAAAGAUUUUGUGUAGGUAAUGAAUAACAUAUUUUGAAGGAACACCUACAGAUAAUAGAUAGAUAGAUACGAAUGCUCUAAAGAACAUUAUUGAUCAAUACUUACUUACCAUCAAAGAUAAAAUUUUGUCCGUUCAAGCUUGAAGCUUAUUCUGAAAUUUUUAAGUAACUCUGUAAAGUAAAAUUUUCUUUUCCCUGGAUGCUCAAUUGGAUAUCCAAGGUAUAUCAUUGAAAAUUUUCCUUUACUGAAACCUGUAACUUCCUCUACCAUUUGCACAAUAUUACCAGCAGUUUUAAGAUAGACAACAAAAAAACUUUUUUCUUUAUUUAUCUUCUGGCCAGAUUAAAGUUCAUACUCAUUUAAAUUAUUCAUAAUCAAUCCCAAAGACUUCUUAUCAGCAGGACAAAAAAUGAUAGUAUCAUCAGCUUAGGCUAGGUGAUUGAUACUAUCACUUCAUUUAGGCAUUCCAAAAUCUUUAAAAUCCUUGUUAAAAAAUAAUUUAUUUAAAGAUAGUGAAAGUACCUCAGCAGCUAGAAUGAAUAGUGUCGGAGAUAAACACUGAAUACCAGUUAUUGGAAACCAAUCUCCAAAUCUUGUCCACCAUUAAUGAAUCAAAAUCCAUAGCUUUUAGUUCCUUGAUUAAGAAUCUCCAAUCAACUCUAUCAUAAGCCUUUGUCAUAUUCAAUUUAAUAACCACAUUGGCUAGUUUCCCCCUUUUUCUAAUAUUACAAAUUAUCUCUUGAGUUAGCAAUAUAUUCUUAGUAAUAUUUCUACCUUUCACAAAACCUGACUAGUUUUGUGAUAUGAUUCUAGGUAAAAUACCCUUCAAUCUAUCAUGCAUUACUUUGGAGAUAACUUUAUUUAAAAAAUUACGCAAACUAGUUGAUCUUAAGUCAAAGAAUAUAGGAAUAUUUUCUUUUUUGGGCAAUAAAAUCAAGUUAGUAUGAGUAAUUGACUUAGGCAAAGUAGAACCUUCCAUAAAACUCUUAACCAUUUCAAUUAUGUCUGCCCCUACAAUAUUCCAACAAGAUUGAUAAAAUUUACCCCUGAAACGAUCAGGUCCACUAGCACUAUCUCCAUUCAAUUCAAACACCACUUUCUUGAUUUCUUCCUCUAUAAGCAUAACAUUCAACAUCUCAUUAUCAACAUCAGUCACCCUAAUAGGAAUCUCUUUUAACAUAGAUAACCCCAAAUUCUGUGUUUCAGCCGUGAACUGAUUUUGAAAAAAAUUAAUUGCUUCAGCAGCUACAUCUUCCCGGCCUUCAGUGCAUCCUCCAUCUCUUUUCCCAAUUUUAUUGAUGGCCAGCCUCUUCCUUUUUUCAUUUACUAAGUUGUGAAAAAAAUUAAGUGUUUCUAUCCCCCUCAGUGAACCACUGUAUACCUGAUUUCUGUGUUCAGUACUCUUCCUCAUAAUGCAAAUAUUUCUUUAAUUCAGCCUGCGCAUGUUUCAUAACCAUCCUAUUUUCAUGAUUUGGAGAUUCUUCAAACAAAUGUUCUUUUAUUCUCAUAAUUUCUUUUCUUAUAAUCAGCUUUUUGAAUAUGUCACCAAACUUUUCUUUACUCCAUUUAGAUAAAGUUGUUUUAGUGUUUUUGAUUUUCUGCUUGAGCCUUAUAAAAAUAUAUUUUGUCCCAUCAAAUCUCCAACUGUCUUGCAGCACAUUUUGAAAAUCUUCAGCUUCUGUCCAGAAUGACAAAAACUUAAAGGGCUUAAUGGUAUGAACUUGUUGAUCUCCACACUCUAGCAAUAAAAGAGCAUGCAUGAUCAGACUUCGUUCUUGCUAAAUGUUCCACCUCCACAUGAAUAAAAUAAUUCAACCAUUCCUGAUUAAUUAGAACUUUGUCAAGUCUCUUAAGAAUACAAUCCCAGUUGCUCUACCAUUCCACCAAGUAAAAGGACUUCCUUUAAACUUGGUGUCAAAUAACUCACAAGAAUUUACACAAAAUGCAACGUCUUAAUAUUCUUGUGAGUAAAUUGGUAAUCCACCAAUUUUUCUCCUCAUUAUUUAAAAUUACAUUAAAAUCUCCACCAAUGACUCAUGGUAUAUUCAUAUUAUGAUUGAAAGUGUAAAUAUCAUGCCAUAAACUUAUCCUCUCUUCUGCAGUACACUUUGCAUAUACUGCAGUGGUAACAAUAGUCCUCCCAUCUAGAAAUUUGAGUUGAGUGGACAAUUAUUGAUUAGUAUCUGAUAAAACAGUAACCUGGAUAUCAUCUUGAAUAAAAAUUUAGAUUUUACCAUUUCGAUUGUAGUUAGCAUAGUUCAUACCUAACCUCUUUUUAUAUCUUUGAAUCUGAGAAUUAUCUUGGAAAGGCUCCAUCAAAGCUAUAUAAAAUAAUUUGUGAUGUCUGUAACAUUUGAACUCUGUGAAAAGCAUAUUGAGUUCUCACAGACCUUAUGUUCCAAAAAAGGGCUUUACAACUUAUUUAGAAUUAGCUCUUGUGCCCCUUUUAGGCACUCUUGUAAUAGGCCUACUGUUAUCUACGUUGCUUCUUUCCUGUUGUGUUAUUGGUGAAAAUCCUGCAUCCUUCAGUGCUUGAUUAGUACUUUCUUCAUGAUUAUCUUCUGGAAUCACUCCAUCCAUUACCUUAUCAGUCUUGUUAUCAUCUUUCAACACUUUAUGGAAAACUAAAUCAUGCAGUUUGGCCGGCAACCAAACUUGACUGAGCACUUGAAACCUUUACAUAAUCCUAUGGUUUAUUAUACUCAACAGUUUCCACAGAAGGGGUUGAUAUAUGAUCAUGAUUCUUUUGAAGAGGAGGAAAAUCCAUUAAUGAUGCAUGUCUAGCCACUUGUGGUGGUUGGCCGACAGCUAGAGCAGCCAUCAUUGUUCGUAUGGGAUUAGGGUUGUCCGAUAAAUACGGUCAUUAUAUGGUCUUACUUAUAUAUAGUAAAGAUUCUUAAAAUAUAAAAGAAAUAAAAAUGAUGGCUUUCGAAUUUUCAUAUACGUACUAAAUGUACUAUUUUUGAAG